rnacentral:rRNA from 1 species
AUGCCUGCACGUAUAGCAGCAGCAGCAGCAAUAGCAGCACACACACAUACACUUCUUCAUGCAUAUGCACGCAUGUAUAUAGUAGAGGUUCAGUUCAUGGAGGGUUCGUGGGAGGUUGAGGAAAAAGUUUCAGAGGCCACCGUAGCGGACGUCGGAGAGCUUGGACUUGAGCCACUUGAAGCUGCCGCGGACAGAGGACUUGAGGCGGGCCUGCGACGCGAACACGUUGUACGACGCCACCCGCCGCCGCCGCUUCGCCUCCGGGUCCUCGCCGGCGCUGGGGCCGUUGAAGCUGUACGACUUGACCGCCGCGCCGCCCCGGCUCACGUCCUCGUAGUCGUACCCGCCGCCGCACCCGUAGUACGCCGCCGUGGCGUGCUCGUGCGGCACCGAUCUGCACUUCUCCAUGGCCACCGGCGCGCGGCGAGCUCGCUGCUGCUGAUGAUGGUGGUGGUGUGUGUAGUGUGGGAGAGAGGAAAGAAUGCCGAGGCCUGA